GUUCGAUUCCUGAUUAAUAUUUUCGCCCUCAAAUACACCACCCAUUUUCCCUAACCAGUCUAUAUACAUUCCCAUUUUCCUCAACUAGUCCAUAUCCAUUCCCAAUGUUCUUCAUUUCCCUUAUUGUCUUUUCCAAAAUCCCUUGAUAGAAUCUGGUUGUUUUAUCCAAACAAUCUUGAUCACCCACCCAAAAUUAAAUGUCAC